AUCUUUAUAUUAUAAAAGUAUAUAUAACUUCCAAUUAUAAGGUCUAUUAAAAUAAUAGUAAAGAUA
rnacentral:tRNA from 1 species